rnacentral:rRNA from 1 species
UCGCACGAGAACGUUCUGGCUUUGCCAGAACAAGUACAGUGGCGGACGGGUGCGUAUCGCGUAGAUAACCUGCCCUUAGGCGCGGGACAAUCACGGGAAACCGUGGCUAAUACCGCACGUCGUCUGGGCCCCGCAUGGGGACCAGAUGAAAGCUUGGGGUUACCCAGGCACCUUGGGAUGGGUCUGCGUUGGAUUAGCUUGUUGGUGAGGCAACGGCUCACCAAGGCGACGAUCCAUAGCUGGUCUGAGAGGACGAUCAGCCACACUGGGACUGAGACACGGCCCAGACUCCUACGGGAGGCAGCAGUGGGGAAUCUUGCACAAUGGGGUCACCCCUGAUGCAGCCAUGCCGCGUGGAGGAAGACACCCCUAUGGGGCGUAAACUCCUUUUCUGAAUGAAGAAACCCCUGUAGGUUCAGGGCGCGACGGUAGUUCAGGAAUAAGCACCGGCUAACUCCGUGCCAGCAGCCGCGGUAAUACGGAGGGUGCAAGCGUUGUCCGGAAUCACUGGGUGUAAAGGGUGUGCAGGCGGGGCAACAAGUCGGAUGUGAAACCCCAUGGCUCAACCAUGGAGGUGCAUUCGAAACUGUUGCUCUUGAGUCCCGGAGAGGCUGUCGGAAUUCGUGGUGUAGCGGUGAAAUGCGUAGAUAUCACGAGGAACACCAGAGGCGAAAGCGGGCAGCUGGACGGGUACUGACGCUCAGGCACGAAAGCGUGGGGAGCAAACAGGAUUAGAUACCC